AGGACGAACGCUGGCGGCGUGCUUAACACAUGCAAGUCGAGCGGAAAGGCCCUUCGGGGUACUCGAGCGGCGAACGGGUGAGUAACACGUGAGUAACCUGCCCCAGACUUUGGGAUAACCCUCGGAAACGGGGGCUAAUACCGAAUAUGACUUUAGCCCGCAUGGGUUUUUGUGGAAAGUUUUUCGGUUUGGGAUGGACUCGCGGCCUAUCAGCUUGUUGGUGAGGUAAUGGCUCACCAAGGCGAGGACGGGUAGCC
rnacentral:rRNA from 1 species